rnacentral:rRNA from 1 species
AGGGAGCUUGCUCCCUGAUUCAGCGGCGGACGGGUGAGUAAUGCCUAGGAAUCUGCCUGGUAGUGGGGGACAACGUUUCGAAAGGAACGCUAAUACCGCAUACGUCCUACGGGAGAAAGCAGGGGACCUUCGGGCCUUGCGCUAUCAGAUGAGCCUAGGUCGGAUUAGCUAGUUGGUGGGGUAAUGGCUCACCAAGGCGACGAUCCGUAACUGGUCUGAGAGGAUGAUCAGUCACACUGGAACUGAGACACGGUCCAGACUCCUACGGGAGGCAGCAGUGGGGAAUAUUGGACAAUGGGCGAAAGCCUGAUCCAGCCAUGCCGCGUGUGUGAAGAAGGUCUUCGGAUUGUAAAGCACUUUAAGUUGGGAGGAAGGGCAGUAAGCUAAUACCUUGCUGUUUUGACGUUACCGACAGAAUAAGCACCGGCUAACUCUGUGCCAGCAGCCGCGGUAAUACAGAGGGUGCAAGCGUUAAUCGGAAUUACUGGGCGUAAAGCGCGCGUAGGUGGUUUGUUAAGUUGGAUGUGAAAGCCCCGGGCUCAACCUGGGAACUGCAUCCAAAACUGGCAGGCUAGAGUACGGUAGAGGGUGGUGGAAUUUCCUGUGUAGCGGUGAAAUGCGUAGAUAUAGGAAGGAACACCAGUGGCGAAGGCGACCACCUGGACUGAUACU